GUUGUGAAAGCUUGAUAUAUACUAAAAGUGGAAUGAUACAGACAAGAUCAGCAUGGUCCCUGCACAAGGAUGACAUGCAAAAUCAUGAAGCAUUCCACAUUUUU